rnacentral:rRNA from 1 species
GACAGAGGGUGCAAACGUUGUUCGGAAUUACUGGGCGUAAAGCGCGUGUAGGCGGCUUGGCAAGUCGGGUGUGAAAGCCCUGGGCUCAACCUAGGAAGUGCACUCGAAACUGCCUCGCUUGAAUGCCGGAGAGGAAAGCGGAAUUCUCGAUGUAGAGGUGAAAUUCGUAGAUAUCGAGAGGAACACCGGUGGCGAAGGCGGCUUUCUGGACGGUGAUUGACGCUGAGACGCGAAAGCGUGGGGAGCAAACAGG